rnacentral:lncRNA from 1 species
UUAUGUCCCCAGCACAGGGACUCCGGUCACCAGCACAGCGACUCCAGUCCUAAGGACAGCGACUCCGGUUCCCACCAUAGUGCCUCCGGUCCCCAACACAGUGCCUCCAGUCCUCAAGACAGCUACUCCCGUCUCCAAAACAGUGCCUCCGGUCACCAACACAGUGCCUCCAGUCCUCAACACAGUGCCCCUGGUCACCACCACAGUGCCUCCGGUCACCAGCACAGUGCCUCCAGUCCUCAAGACAGCUACUCCGGUCUCCAAAACAGUGCCUCCGGCCACCAACACAGUGCCUCCGGUCACCAGCACAGUGCCUCCUGUUCUCAAGACAGCUACUCCGUUCCCCAACACAGUGCCUCCAGUCCUAAGGACAGGGACUCCGGUCUCCAAAAAGGGCCUCCAGUCACCAGCACAGUGCCUCCAGUCCUAAGGUCAGUGACUCCGGUCCCCAACACAGCGCGCCCGGUUCCCAACACAGCUACUCCCUUCCUCAGCACAGCGACUCCAGUCCUUAGGACAGGGACUACGAUCCCCAGCACAUUGCCUCCAGUUCUAAGGACAUGGUCUCCCAUCCACAGCACAGUGCCUCUGGGACAUCAUGAUAUUAGAAUCAAUGCAGUGUGGUCAGGAAAAAGUGGAUGUGUACUGAUGGCCAAAAUUGGGCCAUAUAAAAUCUUUACGAUGGACAUAGCAUGCCUUGCACCUGGCAGAGAACUCGAGAGCGAGGUUAUUUAUCCAUCCCAAAAACAAACAUUUUUCUUGGAUCCCCUGGGAGGGCCGGAUAUGAAAGUCCAGAAGUGCCUGGACACCACAAGUUUGCAGAAAAAUUACUGAAGGACCAGCCAAUCACCUUUUGUAAUACAGAAAAUGAAAUAAACAUCAUGAGGAAAAAGAUGUCAGUGACUCUUAUGCAAGAAUCAGGUAAAUGCUGCUGUAAUUGUUACAAAAUGCUGGAAGGUUUAUUUUACAAUUAGUAAGCUGUGCAUUAUAUAUUUAGAAGUAAAUUAUUUUCAUAAUAAUAAUAAUUAAAUUAAUUAUUAUUUACUAAUAAUUACUUAAUUAUUUAGCAUUUAUUUUCUGAAAAAUAACAUUUUUCAGUAUUGGCUUUAAGAUUACCUGCAGGAGAGCUUAAUUUGGUGACACUACAGUAUGUUACUAUGAAGUUAUUGAGUAUUUUAUUAGUAACAUUUUUUACGUUUUGCACUUUGCAGACAGUCCCUUCGGACUUGUCUCUGAGGCACCAAUGCUUUGAGAUUAAUGUAUUUUGUACAAAGCAGAGGAAAGCUUGCUUUGAGGAAAAUUUGUUUGUAGCUUGUUUUCUACAUCACUACAAAGAAAAGAGGCAUCAAUUGUGUAGAAAAAUAACUUUUUGCUCGAGUUAUUGAUCCACAUUAAGUCUAAUCUGAGAAUAUCUUGCCAACUUUACCGAACACCUCAAGGGUUUGUCUAUUGUCAUGGACACAACUACACAGCCAAGUUACUCUCCAACUCCAAGUUAUAGAUACUCAUCUUCCAAAAAAAAAAAAAAAUUCUGAACUUUUAUUUCCUCCAGUUAAUUGCAUCCACACCAUUUACCUGCCUCACUCUUUGUUUAUACUCACAGUUUUGUUCAUCUCUUUUGUUAGAAGUCUUAUCAGUCAUCUUGCUCAGUCAUGUUCUCAAUAAAUUACUUUAAUUUAUUACAUCUAAUCAUUGUUGUCUGAGUCACCCUAACACUGAUUGCUGUAUAAUAAAUAUAGUGUCUCAAUGUUAUCUGUAAUCUGUACACUUUUUAGAAGACUUGACUGAUCUCUGUCAGUUCUGUGGUGAAGACAUCAACCCAAGUGAUCCAGUGAUGACACCUGCUUGGGUAAUGAACAUUUAUUAACAUUGAUUUUAAAAGGUUCUUAAUGAAAGAAAAUAAUAAAAAAAAAUACAUAAAUUUUAUUGUCCCUUGCAUUGCCGCAUUAGAUUGCCUGUGAUGGAUGUGACAGGUGGUACCACCAGUCAUGUGUUGGCAAUCCACCAUUGGAGGACGACUUUCAUUGCCCUGUGUACUGAAGGCCUAGAUUAAAUAAUAUAUAACUCCAGUUUUGUGAAUGAGUGUUCUGCAGUUGCUCCCACUGUCUGGUGGAUGACAUGUUAACAUUUCGAAAUAUGGUGUUGUAAUAAUUGUAUGGUGUUAUAAUUACAUGUAAUUGUUAUAAUUAAAUACAUCUGUUCCCCCUGUGUUUUUGGUGUAUGGGACUGUUCUGUAGAUUAAAAGUUCUUCUAGACGGGAGUUGUUUAACAAUAAUAACAACACAAUAUUGUACAUUGCAAUAUUGUUUAUUUAUUGAAAACAUAAGGUUGUGUGACAACCCCGACAAACAACAACAACAACAUAAUAAUAUAAGCGUCUGUCGAAAAUUCGUUUAUUAACUUGACGCUGUUGUACAGAGUUUCACAAGUGGUAGCCUAAACUACGAAAGCUAUAAAUCUCCAAAAACAAUACAUUCUACUAAUAUUUUUGACAAACAACGUGAAAGUUACCUUAUGUGGAUGAAAAGUAGGAAAUAACAUCAGAAACUGACGCUUGGGAUAAAGCUUUUUUUAUUAUUAUUAUUAUUUCCAGAAUUAUACAUCAAGUAAUACAGUGAAUACAAAUAUUUAACAAAUAAUAUUCUAAAUGAUUACAAAGCAUCAUAAGACAAAAAACAAAAAAGAAAACAUACAAAAACAUAACGAAAAGGGAUGUACAUAUAUACUUAAAAUAAAGAAGAGAAAUUUAAUUCUUUAAUAAUGUCCAUAGUUCUUAUUGCUUUGCGGUUUGAAAGUCCUUUCAGUGUUUCAAAGUAAAUCUUCAUGUCAGCCUUAAAAUGGUAGAUGUUGGGUAUCCUUUCAGACCAUUUACAUUUAUGUAUGUAAAACUUACCAAGUAAUAAAAUAAGAUUUAACACAAAACUGUGACUUUUAUCUCUCUUUUUUUGUCAUAAUAAAAAAAAACAUCCUUUUUCUCUAUGCAAAUUUUAAUUCCACUCAAUAUAUUAAAUAAAUAUUCCACAUCAAUCCAAAAAAACUUCACAUACAAGCAUUCAAAGAAAAGAUGUACUGUAAGACAGUUUCAGUAUCCUUUUUACAAAAUGUACAGGAUUCAGAAAGGUCAUUUUUUGGGUAAAUUUUAUGUAUAAUUUUAAAGUAUAUUUCAAAAACUUUAUUAUUAAUACAGUAUUUAUUAUUAUAAGUCCAAAUCAAUCUCCAAUUAAUAUUUACGCUUGGGAUAAAGCACACAUUUUCCGCUUCAAAAUCAUGACGUCAGGAAUUCACGCAUGUGCGCCGAUGGGGAAACAGGGGACUGAACUCACCGGAACACCGGCUCUAGUUGCCAAGUCCGCUACGCGACUUUUUUUUUUUUGUAAGUCGCGUUAAAACAGCACGGGUUGCGUUUUUUUUGGGCUUAUUAAAGAAUAUAUGGUUGCUUGUUAGGAAAAUCUGACAAGCAACUUCGUUUUCAUCUAUGGUGUACAUUGAUACUGAUACAUUGAUUGAGACUGUCUGCUUACAGAUAUAGCCAAAUCAGUGCAAUCAUAUAAGUGCUGUGGCGUAACAUUCGUCAAAACAUUCCGCUGAAUCCACCCCUUAUCCCCCUCAUUGGAGUAAAAUCACGUUCACUUGCAAGGCGGCGCGCU